GACGAACGCUGGCGGCGUGCCUAAUACAUGCAAGUCGAGCGAAGUUUUUCUGGUGCUUGCACUAGAAAAACUUAGCGGCGAACGGGUGAGUAACACUUAAAGAACCUGCCUCAUAGGCUGGGACAACUAUUGGAAACGAUAGCUAAUACCGGAUAACAGUAUUUCUCGCAUGAGAGAUAUUUAAAAGUUGGUUAUGCUAACACUAUGAGAUGGCUUUGCGGUGCAUUAGCUAGUUGGUGGGGUAAAGGCCCACCAAGGCGACGAUGCAUAGCCGACCUGAGAGGGUGAUCGGCCACACUGGGACUGAGACACGGCCCAGACUCCUACGGGAGGCAGCAGUAGGGAAUCUUCCGCAAUGGGCGAAAGCCUGACGGAGCAACGCCGCGUGAGUGAAGAAGGAUUUCGGUUCGUAAAGCUCUGUUGUUAGGGAAGAAUGGAUAUGUAGUAACUAUACAUGUAAGAGACGGUACCUAACCAGAAAGCCACGGCUAACUACGUG
rnacentral:rRNA from 1 species